CGGCACGGAGGGCACGGAAAACAAGCGGAGCAAAAGCCAACUGCAGAAAAAGGAACAAGAAGCGGUUUCCGCAGUAGGGGCUGAAUCCCGGCGAGGCGGGAACGGGAGCAGAUCUCUUGUGCUGCCCGCGCCGGCCCGAGAGCGGCUGCUUCGGUCGGGCCAGGGCUAUCGCCGCUGGGCCUGGGCUGUGAGCCCAGCUUUCAGCGUGAACCGCGCUAGGAAGUGCCGCUACCUAAACCUGAGGUGAAAUUUAGACCACGAGUUGGGUAUGAGGCCAGUAGUGUCGCCACUUAACGGGACUGCUGUUACGCAGCGAAAGACAAGCUGAAUUUAUUUAGCUGUCAGGCCAGAGAUUUCUUGCUGCUUCCUGCACAGCCGCUGAUUUCACUGACCCUCACAGCCGCUCUGUGACUCUGCCUUCCAAAAGCCACAGGGAAAUGUCUCUGGCUGGUAUCGUGCUGGGUGCAGUUGAAAUAACGUGAACAAAAACUUUGCAACUGGCAUAUUCUUCUGAGUCCACUGAUUCCAGAGCUAUCACAGGAGGAGAAAUGUUUUUGCUUCAUUGUUGUGGGUAUAUAAAAUAGGUGUGAAGGUUAUUGUAGCUGUAAUGAUAGCGAAAGUUUAAAUAAACUUUUACAUUAUUAUUAUGUAUGGAUUGAUGGCUAUAUUCCAUUGACACAAAGCAAAUAAUUUCUUAUGAAAGCCAUGCACAGUAUUGCUUUGAUUCACUCUAGGAAUAUCAAUUAACCCUGUCUUAAUUGGGGACAAUAAAAGCAAACGAUGAGGUUCUUACUCCUGUCAGAAUGAAUCGAUGCAAUCUGUAUGACAUAAAGUACAUUAUGAAGGUUUGCAUUCUAGUAUUCAUGUAAUCAUAUAAUAGUGAUAUAGUGGGUGUUUUUUGACUACAUGAGAUAUUUUUAGGUGUAUAUAGAAAAUACAUAGAAUGGAUGAGUAAUGCAAAAUAGAGAAGAAGAAAGUUUCUAAGAGGUGUGGUUUGUCACAAAACUUUUUGCUUGGCAUAAAAAAUUAAUUGAAGGAAUUCUGAUAUACACAGUAUAUUUUCCUUUCCCUCAGAAAGAGCAGAGUUACACCUUUUAAUGGAAUCUUAGCUGAUAUUUACAGGGAAUUGGAUUGUGUGCAGUCUAUGUUUUUGAUUCAGGAAUUUAUUAAGACAAAGACAGUAAAUAACAGUGUAACUCCUGUUUUGAUGAAAAAUUAGAAAUUAUGCAGGUGGAAAUGAAUAAGUAAUUGUGUAAUAGGAUGUCUGAAAAUGGUUUGUAAAUUGAAUAAAAUGGAGUAUAGUAUAAAUUAGAAUUUUUUAAAAUGGUUCUUUCCUUUCGCAUAUGCCAUGAUAUUAUCUUUAUAGCUUGCUGGAGAUCUUUUCCUACCAAACAGGUGAAUGUGUGAAUUUGAAUGGUUUAGCUGUCAUGUUUUGCUCAUUAAUAUGUUUACUUUGAUUUUAGCAAUCAAAAAGGUUACUUCUCAUCUCAUUUGUUUUUUAUUGUGCUGGUAUACAAAAUAUUAGUAACAAUUUUGAUGUGGUGAUUCAUAAGGCUUAGUCUGAUGAAGGAACAGGUGCUUAAUGACCCCUUCCUUUAUCAGAGAGAGCUGGCAGGAUGAAGCACAAGCUUUUUUAACUGGCUAUUGGACUUUGAUUAGAAGAAGGGUUUUCACCCUGGCUGUUUGUUCCACGGGUAGCUUUGACUUUUUUCAUUUUCACGGUUCCUUUUUAAUGCACAGUUAUAAAUAGCUUAAUGUUUUGCUUUUCAUUGCACUCUUUUCUCUUUUCCUGUCAUUUGCACUGUGGCUGUGCUAAUGGGAGGGUGGUUAGCUCAACCUCAGGCAGCCUUUUCUGCAUAAUUGGUUCAGUUAGGAAACAACACAUUUUCAAUUAAUUAGUGUGAUUGCCUACCUAACAGUAGGUAGGGGAAAUUUGGUACUCAUUUGGUUCUUUCUCUGCAGUGAAUAUUCAUAGCAGUAAUAAAAUCUUCCCUGAGCAAAAUAUUUCUAAAUAUACAUUCUAGAAAUACAUUCUAGACGAACAACACAUGUAUGUGGAAAAUCUCACAAGUAAGAGUACUAAAUG